UCCGCACGCCGCUUCCCCUGCUGCACCUGCUCCGCGCAACGGGACGCGCACUCCUCACCGCCACCCGCCGCGCCGCUGCUGCAAAAAGCGAAGCGGGGAAUGCGCGAUCGCCGCCGCGCCGCACCAGCCUCCCCUCCCCCCCCCCCCCCCCACCCGAGACUCGCCGGCGACCGGCUCGGCCUGAGCGAGCGAUUGACUUGGUGGACCAUGAAGUGCCUUCAAAUGCAUGAAAGAGGGCGGAUACCAUCAGAUCAUAUGCCAUAAAAUGCUCAAUAUUAUUGUGAUUCAAAUUUUGUGCCCUCCCUCUCCCUGGUUAUUAUUGUGAUUCCUGUGACAAUGGUAAUUGUUGAAAGCUUUCCAGAAUACAAAGAUGUCUACGAGCUUUGACAUCUGUUGCCUGUUGUCACAUAUGUGCGGGUGAGUGGCCAUAGUUCAGCAAUUGAUGGAACACUUUAUAGCCACAUCUCAUGCAUAUGGCCUGUCUCUAAAGGUGUAAAGGACUAAUGGUGGCUGUUUUGAGUGCUAAAGGUAAUGGAAUUUAUCUCGACUGCUGUAAGCCCAACAAUGGAGUACUUUCAUGGUUACAAAGGCUUUCCAAGUAUGCUUUCAUAUGUUUAUCAUCAUGCUGAUGUCAUAUAGAUGCAAGAACCUUUCAGCACGUUAUCAAGCAGGAAUAUAUCUUAUGCCUUGUCUUUGUGGUUUCCUGCUACCUGUAUAACAUUUUAUUUCCUUCUAAAAAGGGUUCUCUUAUGAGUUUGAAUUGGUUGCUUGGCCUAACCUUCAUAUUCUCAGCAAAGAAAAUCAGUUUUAUCCAAAUGAGUUUUAUUUAAGCAAAAUUGAUCCUGAUUGUUAUGAAUUGUGUCAGAUGGAAUCACUGAACUAUUAUUUUUACAUAUUCAUUAUUCCAUUGGACCACUAAAUACAUUAACCUAUGAUACCCUAGGUUCUUACUCUUAAUUUUGUUCCUCUUUUCUGUUAUUUUCCACUCACUAAUGAUGAUGUAGGUGGAUGCCAAUGUACUACUGUUAUCAGAGCUGAGACUGCAUAUUAAAAUAUAAACUAAAUGUCUUUUUCAUCUAGAGAAGAGCACUGCCGCUCAUCCUUUGCUAUUUUCAUGUCUUGCGCUAUUUCUACUUCACUUUCAUACUCACACAGAAUCACAGAUACAUCCGAUAAUGCCGCUCAUGUGUCCGAGCAGACACAGCAUAACCAAAGAUAAUUGAAGUGCAUAUGCCCACAAGUUGAAACAUCAUGCUACUUCUACAUCACGGGUGCUCCAUGUCCAUGCAGGGCAGAGCACACUGUUGGGAAGAAGCAUCAUCCACCUUUCUUCUGUUGCCAAUUAAAAGUCGUGUUAGCUGCUGUUCGAUUCGUAACUCACUGGGUCACUUCUCUCUGGGGGAAAAGCCUUGGUCAAUCAUCACAGUUGGGGUCCUGGGGAAAAAGAGAUGGCAUCAUAUUCCAACAAGAACCACUUUGCAGGCGCUGAGUGUGUCCGCGGUCAGUUAAGAAUUGGGCUUCCCAUAAUUGCAAAGAUAAUCGUGCAGGUACAAGUAUAAUGAUUUGUCCGAUUGACUGUCGCUAGCGUCAAUGGAGGCACUGAUCAUUGCGAGGGGGAACUCAUCGCCUGUGAAUUUCUUUCAUGAAACUUCGGAUACAAAAAGGGUCCACUGGAGGAGACAAAUUUCUUGGAGUAUAGUAUUGGAAACGAGCUGGUCAAUGCAUGCAUUAUUGUUGGUAUCUUUUUCUUGUCUGACGAAAGAGUGUUUUUAUCCAUGAUUCCAUGAUUAGGAUUGUAAUGGCAUCCGUCUGUACCCAUGUGACGGUGGAUACUCAUCACCAAUUAAACAAACGCGGCACGAAUCAAAAGGCUGUGAUUGAGCAAUUUUAUAGAUUUGCAGUUGAGCCAGGAAAACGGACUGUCAGGUAACAACCUACCUCUUGGCUGCAACUGCCCGUGCUGUCUUCCUUUGUUACUCCUUGCUCAGGAUUAUGCAUCCGUGAUCCCAGGAAGGAAGUUCACCCUGCCUCCAGGUGAUUGUUAUGAUAUAGAAAGAGCGGCAUUAUUUUGAGUGGUGGUGAGAGAAGGGAAGGCUGGCGGCGGCGGCAGCAUGGCAAUUAGCAAGGCUGGCACUAGAAGAUCACGGGGAAGAAGGCAAGUUUGACAAAGGAGGCAUCUUUCUGGGGUCCCCAGGAAGCAUAGGCCCACCCCCUCCCUAAUCCCUACGGUACACACACGAUACUUGGGCACGUGGGCGCGAUGGAAUGGCUCGUGGCCCAUUGAAUUGAUUGGCAAAAGUUCGAGCUGCAAUUCGUGGACGGCCGGCCUGCUCGGGACGCCAUCGGAUCGCCGCCCGGCGACUUUUGCAGGCUGGAGCUGGAGGCUGAAGCUGGAGUGGUGUGAGAGAAAAACACUGUGACAUGACUGGUGGCUAGAGGCUAGUGCUGGAGCGAGUGAGAAAAAAAUACUGUAGAACUGGAGGCUGGUGCACCAGCCGAACAUGGUGAAUAUGGAGAGCCAGGUACGCCAAUAAGCUGUAAUCUGUUUAAUUAGUCAGUGUGGCGAGUUGUGUGCCAUGUGCAUGCACUGGUGCAAGAAGAGUGUAGUAUUAAUAUAACAAGGAAUAAAAGGUACUAUGAACUUGUUGUUUUAGGUCAAACAUAAUAUCCAUAAACUUUGAUUUUGUGAAGCCCGCCGACAGAUUUUCUUCUCCUCUCCGCGUAAUACAAACUCGGCAGGGUCCACCUGAUAAUUUAAGUUGUAGGAAACAUCACAAAUGGCUUUGUUUUAUUAGUUCAUAGCGUGGUGGCACUUGUUUAUAAAUUCAUGGAGAAGAAAGGGGCCAACAAUUAUCUGGUUAGUUAUUUGGUUGUAGGCAUUCACUCGUGGACGUUCAAGGCCAGAACAAUUCCUUAAUCUAAAAAAAUUAUCUGGUUUGUUCUACUGAAUUAUGCAAAUGUUACACUUAUCUGUAUGCGCUUACAGAGAUUAUUCAACUAAUUAAUAUGUAAAUCAUUGAUGUUUUAUACUUGCACAUGUUUGCCAAAACGUAUUAUUUACUAUUAUUUUCACUGAAUUAAUUUAAGCAUAGCGAAAAUUAUAAUGGGAGCAUACUUUUUUCAAAGCAAACAAACCUGCAUAUACCAUACCAUUCUUCACAAUAAUCUUAAUUGUAGCAGUAACAUUUUGUCGGCACAAACUCUAACCCCCUAGCACCACUGAUUUGAUAUUAGGGGGUAUUAGGAGGUGACAUUAUCAGGUUGGGCUCCAUUUGCACACUAACGCAUCACUUUCCUUGACCCCCUCUGCUAGCAAAGCCUAAUAAUGCAGCCCCGGAUGCACUGCACUGCAUGGCCCCAAUGCAAGCCACUCCUCUCUCCCUUCCUUCUCUAGACGCCUAGUCCACACAAAUUGGCCGGCACGCCCAAUUAUCCACCCAAUUAAGUUGCGCGCGCUUAAUGUUGUGGUUGGGAUUACGCCGGGAGGCCAGUUGACGGGCAAUGAUUUUAAUCAAGGGGGUCCAACCCAUAACACGACUGAUUAAUCGCCCCCCGUCCCUACGAUGUGAAGUCGCACCUGCCUCAAGGUCCUUUGGCCCCCCCCUUCCAACACCAUGGCGUAUGCAUGCGUGAAGUCGCUAGCUGCUGCUGCUACUCUAAGGUCACAGUCGUCAGCAUUUGCGUAUGCAUGGGCCUGCGUUACGCCCCCAAUGCAAGCGUUUGUAUCGGCGCAGCGUGCAGAGUCAUUAAGGGAACUUUGAGAUGCCGGAAUUUAGUUUGCUCGAAGUUUAUAGAAAAUCAGGUCGAUUCUUGUGUAUUUGAGAAGAAAAUAAUCGAGUUCCAAGUAAUUAAACUGUUAGCGCCCCUUUUGGAAUGCAGAGUUGGUAGUAGUCUUGGUAGUUUUUAUGUAGUAUUGUCGGAAUUGAAUUGUGAAGUUUGUUGUGUACGUACGCGUUGUGUUCUUGGGCAAGUUCCGCAUUUUCCAAAUACGCGUAUCGCAGCGUAUAUGUGUGUCAGUGUCGCCUGCUUACGCAUGUGUCCUCUACUGGCGGCAACUUUCGUACGUGUAGGUGUGUGGCCACUACUGGCGACGAAUACGUACGUGCGGUUGCCGGCGCUUGCUGCUGUGCUGCUGCCGAGAAUCCGUACAAAUACCUUAAACCUCACGUACGCAUCCGUAUAAGGUGCGGUACUCGUAGCCGGUGCCCCAUUCGCCAUUCUACACGUACGUGUGUAUCACCACUCGCGUGCAGGUGAUGCGCUGUCGCGUGCCGUGUGUGUGACGAAACGGUCCAUUGUUCGCCUGUCCUACUACUCCUAUACAGAACCCUCGACGCAAGGCUCAUACAGGACGACGACGUACUGUCCCGGCCCACUGCUGCUGCCGCACCCACGUACGGAUGAAACGUACGUGCCGAUUAAUUUGCGUGGUGUGCUGUUCGGGCCUUUGGGGCCUGUCACGUACGAAUGAAUGAAUUGAAGUGGGCACAGGGUUUCGUAGAUUUCGUGGGAAUCGAUCAAGUACGGGGUUACAGAUUGUAAAUGCGGCGCCACUGUAGAUGCAUAUGCCCGACGACCUUCUCUCCUGCUUCGUUCCUCGCAUUGUGUGAUGGAGCUUAGCGAGAGGAGAGGCUACUGUUGAGAUGGAACAGGUGCGAAUAGCUUGCACAUGUACCUUCAGGAAGGUAGGGAGCACAAUUAUUUGUGUGUAAUCCACUUUAGCUGAUGCUUAUUAGAUGUGGGGAGCCUCGAGCUUGAUUGGAUGAUGAGAGCUAGCAGCCAGUGCCGUGCACUGCUGCACACUGAGAAAUAACGGUGGUCCUCGUGUACCCACCAUGCCGUAUAGUUCGUCUUUUGUCUUGAGCAUUCUUGCUUCAUAUAUAUGCACAGCACGCGUAUAGUGUGUCGACAUUAUACUGGUUACUGUUUAUUUUUCACGGCUUGAUUGAUACGCCGCCAUGUACUUACUGAUCACAAAUGUAAAUCUGUCGUAUGUAUGUUUCAUUUUGUCGUUUAUC